rnacentral:rRNA from 1 species
ACAGAGGUGGCGAGCGUUGUUCGGAUUUAUUGGGCGUAAAGCGAACGCAGGUGGUUUGGUAAGUCAGGGGUGAAAGCCCACAGCUUAACUGUGGCACUGCCUUUGAUACUGCCUUUCUUGAGUGCAUGAGGGGGAAGCGGAAUUCCGAGUGUAGAGGUGAAAUUCGUAGAUAUUCGGAGGAACACCGGUGGCGAAGGCGGCUUCCUGGCAUGUAACUGACACUCAUGUUCGAAAGCGUGGGUAGCAAACAGGAUUAGAUACCCUGGUAGUCCACGCCCUAAACGAUGGGCACUAGGUGUGGGAGGUAUCGACCCCUUCCGUGCCGCAGCUAACGCAUUAAGUGCCCCGCCUGGGGAGUACGGCCGCAAGGUUG